rnacentral:misc_RNA from 1 species
AGGAAAGAAGAAAUAAAUUUGCUGGAGUUUUGUGCUUAUCGCCAAGGAUAAUCUGCAGAUUUGUGUUUUCCUUUUAGUAGAGUCUCUUUUAGUUAUCUUUUUACUCCUAAAUUAAAUUAUGUUUAUCAGUGAUUUGGUUGUUGGUGAUUAGUGAUAUGAAAACUUUGGUUCUUUGCAGAGGACAGAAUUUUUGACGUUACUGGAAAUAUAUAUUUCCUUGUUUUUCUUUUUGAUGUUUUGGUUGACACUUUGACCCA